AUUGAACGCUGGCGGCAUGCCUUACACAUGCAAGUCGAACGGCAGCGGACCUUCGGGUGCCGGCGAGUGGCGAACGGGUGAGUAAUAUAUCGGAACGUACCUUUCAGUGGGGGAUAACGUAGCGAAAGUUACGCUAAUACCGCAUAUUCUGUGAGCAGGAAAGCAGGGGAUCGCAAGACCUUGCGCUGAUUGAGCGGCCGAUAUCAGAUUAGCUAGUUGGUGAGGUAAAGGCUCACCAAGGCGACGAUCUGUAGCGGGUCUGAGAGGAUGAUCCGCCACACUGGAACUGAGACACGGUCCAGACUCCUACGGGAGGCAGCAGUGGGGGAAUUUUGGACAAUGGGCGCAAGCCUGAUCCGGCCAUGCCGCGUGAGUGAAGAAGGCCUCGGUU
rnacentral:rRNA from 1 species